rnacentral:misc_RNA from 1 species
UCAAAGUCUAGAAAAUGAAAAAUAAUUUCCUCUUUCUUAAAAAUGACUUAGUUUUCUCUUUAACCAAGAAAACAUUUGCUGUUAAUCAAUUUUCCUAAGUGCCUCAUAUGCUAGAAAAAGUGGAACAUAUUUUUCUCAAACAACUGGAGCCUAAAUAACUAAAAUUCAAUUCUCAUUAUGACAGAUAAAAUCAUUGUGGUAUUAUGGUCCAUAUGCCACCACAGGAAAGCUGUACUAAGUAGGUUCUAUCACCCAACUCUUCCACUUUACAAAACACACAUGAAAGAGUGUAAUUGCCAUACAUGACGGUCUAUAUAUAGCUAACCAAAGCAUCAAGGAGACAAAGACAAGAUAGAAAUCCUAUAUAGUUUUAUGCUUGUUUACUUGAAAUAUUUGCUGCACUACAAGUAAAUAGCGAAGAGCAUAUGAGGGCAAUGUUUACCAUCCACAGCAUCAUGUGA